AUCCAGCUGACGAGUCCCAAAUAGAACGAAACGUGUGUCCCUGAU
rnacentral:hammerhead_ribozyme from 1 species